UACGUAGGGUGCAAGCGUUGUCCGGAAUUAUUGGGCGUAAAGAGCUCGUAGGCGGUUUGUUGCGUCGGCUGUGAAAUCCCGAGGCUCAACCUCGGGUCUGCAGUCGAUACGAGCAAACUAGAGUGUUGCAGGGGAGACUGGAAUUCCUGGUGUAGCGGUGAAAUGCGUAGAUAUCUGGAGGAACACCGGUGGCGAAGGCGGCAUCCUGGACCAAUACUGACGCUGAGGAGCGAAAGCCAGGGGAGCAAACGGG
rnacentral:rRNA from 1 species